CAGUCUCAGUUCGGAUUGAAGGCUGAAAUUCGCCUUCAUGAAGCCGGAAUUGCUAGUAAUCGUAGGUCAGCAUACUACGGUGAAUACGUUCCCGGGCCUUGUACACACCGCCCGUCAAACCAUGAGAGUUGGCAACACCCGAAGUCGGUAGUCUAACCGCAAGGAGGACGCCGCCGAAGGUGGGGUUGAUGAUUAGGGUUAAGUCGUAACAAGGUAGC
rnacentral:rRNA from 1 species